ACGGGCAUUGCCUUAGUAGCGGCGAGUGAAGCGGCAAAAGCUCAAAUUUGAAAUCUGGCACUUUCAGUGUCCGAGUUGUAAUUUGAAGAAGGUAUCUUUGGGUCUGGCUCUUGUCUAUGUUUCUUGGAACAGAACGUCACAGAGGGUGAGAAUCCCGUGCGAUGAGAUGUCCCAGACCUAUGUAAAGUUCCUUCGAAGAGUCGAGUUGUUUGGGAAUGCAGCUCUAAGUGGGUGGUAAAUUCCAUCUAAAGCUAAAUAUUGGCGAGAGACCGAUAGCGAACAAGUACAGUGAUGGAAAGAUGAAAAGAACUUUGAAAAGAGAGUGAAAAAGUACGUGAAAUUGUUGAAAGGGAAGGGCUUGAGAUCAGACUUGGUAUUUUGUAUGUUACUCUCUCGGGGGUGGCCUCUACAGUUUACCGGGCCAGCAUCAGUUUGGGCGGUAGGACAAUUGCAAAGAAAUGUGGCACUGCCUCGGUAGUGUGUUAUAGUCUUUGUCGAUACUGCCAGCCUAGACUGAGGACUGCGGCUUCGGCCUAGGAUGUUGGCAUAAUGAUCUUAAGUCGCCCGUCUUGAAACACRGRAMCCAAA
rnacentral:rRNA from 1 species